rnacentral:rRNA from 1 species
UACGUAGGGGGGCAAGCGUUGUCCGGAUUUACUGGGCGUAAAGAGCGUGUAGGCGGUCAGACAGGUCCGUUGUGAAAACUGGAGGCUCAACCUUCAGACGUCGACGGAAACCGUCUGGCUAGAGUCCGGAAGAGGAGAGUGGAAUUCCUGGUGUAGCGGUGAAAUGCGCAGAUAUCAGGAAGAACACCGAUGGCGAAGGCAGCUCUCUGGGACGGUACUGACGCUGAGACGCGAAAAGCGUGGGGGAGCGAACAGG